rnacentral:rRNA from 1 species
GACGAACGCUGGCGGCGUGCUUAACACAUGCAAGUCGAACGGAGUUACGUUUUCGGAUGUAACUUAGUGGCGAACGGGUGAGUAAAGCGUGAGGAACCUGCCUUUCAGUGGGGGACAACAGUUGGAAACGACUGCUAAUACCGCACAAUGUCAUGAAUCGGCAUAGGUGUAUGACCAACGAUUUAUUGCUGAGAGAUGGCCUCGCGUCUGAUCAGCUAGUUGGUGGGGUAACGGCCCACCGAGGCGAAGGUCAGGAGCCGGAGUGAGCGGUUGACAGGCCACAUUGGGACUGAGUUACGGCCCAGACUCCUACGGGGGGCAGCAGUGGGGAAUAUUGGGCAAUGGGCGAAAGCCUUACCCAGCAACGCCGCGUGAAGGAAGAAGGCCUUCGGGUUGUAAACUUCUUUUACCAGGGACGAACACAAUGACGGUACCUGGAGAAAAAGCAACGGCUAACUACGUGCCAGCCGCCGCUGUAA